AAGAUACUCCCUCCGUUCCAAAUUACUUGUCGCGGGUAUGGAUGUAUCUAGAUGUAUUUUAGUUCUAGAUACAUCCAUUUCUGCGACGAGUAAUUUGGAACGGAGGAAGUAUUAU
rnacentral:pre_miRNA from 1 species